rnacentral:rRNA from 1 species
UUACGGUCAAAUCACGCUGAAAACACCGGUUCUCAUUUGAUCACCGAAGUUAAGCAUCGUAGAGCCAGGUCAGUACUUAGAUGGGGGACCGCUUGGGAACACCUGGUACUGUAAG